AAAGAUUUAGUUUAAAACUUUAAAAAACAUUAAAUUGUCAAUUUAAAAAUAUUUUAAUUAAUACUCUUUU
rnacentral:tRNA from 1 species